CCUACGGGAGGCAGCAGUGAGGAAUAUUGGUCAAUGGGAGGAAUCCUGAACCAGCCAUGCCGCGUGCAGGACGACGGCUCUACGAGUUGUAAACUGCUUUUGUACCGGGGUAAAAUGCUCUACGAGUAGGGUUUUGCAAGUACGGUACGAAUAAGGAUCGGCUAACUCCGUGCCAGCAGCCGCGGUAAUACGGAGGAUCCGAGCGUUAUCCGGAUUCAUUGGGUUUAAAGGGUGCGUAGGUUGUUCUAUAAGUUAGCGGUGAAAUACCGAGGCUCAACACCGGGGCUGCCGCUGAUACUGUAGGACUAGAGAUCGGAUGCAGUAGGCGGAAUGUGUAGUGUAGCGGUGAAAUGCAUAGAUAUUACACAGAACACCGAUUGCGAAGGCAGCUUGCCAGGCCGGAUCUGACACUGAGGCACGAAAGCGUGGGGAUCGAACAGGAUUAGAUACCCGAGUAGUC
rnacentral:rRNA from 1 species